rnacentral:misc_RNA from 1 species
GAUGAAGAACGUAGCGAAAUGCGAUAAGUAAUGUGAAUUGCAGAAUUCAGUGAAUCAUCGAAUCUUUGAACGCACCUUGCGCCCUUUGGACAUUCCGAAGGGCAUGCCUGUUUGAGUAUCAUGAACACCUCAACUCUCACGGCUUGUCCGUGAUGAGCUUGGACUUUGGGGGUCUUGCCGGCCUGUGGUCGGCUCCUCUCAAAUGGAUCAGCUUGCCAGUGUUUGGUGGCAUCACAGGUGUGAUAACUAUCUGCGCUUGUGGUUUUCCAUCAGAUAACCUUCAGUGAUAUGGAGGUUCGCUGGAGCUCACAAAUGUCUCUCCUUAGUGAGGACAGCUCUUUGAACGUUUGAUCUCAAAUCAGGUAGGACUACCCACUGAACUUAAGCAUAUCAAUAAGCGGAGGA